rnacentral:rRNA from 1 species
CGGGGCAACCUGGCGGCGAGCGGCGAACGGGUGAGUAAUGCAUCGGAACAUGUCCAUGUCGUGGGGGAUAGCCCGGCGAAAGCCGGAUUAAUACCGCAUACGCCCGAGAGGGGAAAGUGGGGGACCGCAAGGCCUCACGCGAUUGGGUUGGCCGAUGUCCGAUUAGCUAGUUGGCGGGGUAAGAGCCCACCAAGGCGAUGAUCGGUAGCUGGUCUGAGAGGAUGAUCAGCCACACUGGGACUGAGACACGGCCCAGACUCCUACGGGAGGCAGCAGUGGGGAAUUUUGGACAAUGGGGGCAACCCUGAUCCAGCCAUUCCGCGUGAGUGAAGAAGGCCUUCGGGUUGUAAAGCUCUUUUGUCCGGAACGAAACGGAGUGCGUGAAUAUCGCGCUCUACUGACGGUACCGGAAGAAUAAGCACCGGCUAACUACGUGCCAGCAGCCGCGGUAAUACGUAGGGUGCGAGCGUUAAUCGGAAUUACUGGGCGUAAAGCGUGCGCAGGCGGUUUUGUAAGCCAGAUGUGAAAUCCCCGGGCUUAACCUGGGAAUGGCAUUUGGGACUGCAAGGCUGGAGUGUGGCAGAGGAGACUGGAAUUCCCGGUGUAGCAGUGAAAUGCGUAGAUAUCGGGAGGAAUACCGAUGGCGAAGGCAGGUCUCUGGGCUGACACUGACGCUCAUGCACGAAAGCGUGGGGAGCAAACAGGAUUAGAUACCCUGGUAGUCCACGCCCUAAACGAUGUCGACUGGUUG